GGCCUCGUAGCUCAGCUGGUAGAACAUGCGCGUACAAAGCGUAGGCGGUGUCCAUGCGUGGGUUCGAAUCCCACCGAGGUUA
rnacentral:tRNA from 1 species